rnacentral:lncRNA from 1 species
UGGAGCUGUGAGCCAAUUAAACUUCUUUUCUUUAUAAAUUACCUAGCCUCAGGUAUUUCUUUUCUUUUUUUUUUUUUUUUUUUUUUUUUUUUUUUUGACAGAGUCUCACUUAUCUCAUGUUGCCCAGGCUGGAGUGCAAUGGAGUGAUCUUGGCUCGCUGCAAUCUCCGCCUCCCGGGUUCAAGCGAUUCUCCUGCCUCAGCCUCCUGAGUAGCUUGGAUUACAGGGAAGGGCCCCCUGUCCGGUGGACACGUGACUUGCAUGACCUUACCUAUCAUUGGAGACGACUCACACUCCUUACCCUGCCCUCUUGCCUUGUAUACAAUAAAUAACAGCAUGGCCAGGCAUUCAGGGCCACUACCAGUCUCCGUGCCUUGGUGGUAGUGGUCCCCUGGGCCCAGCUGUCUUUUCUUCUAUCUCUUUG